GGAAAUCUCCCUGUGUCCUGCACAGAAUAAAGAAAUAUUGCUUCAAUCUUUGUCUUAGUGUGUUCAAUUUGGUUUCAACACACAGUCUUGAAGGACCCAGUGUUGGGCUGUGACAUCCCUCUCCAGGGCUGUCAGGUGCAUUUAGAGAGAAAAUGGCCACAAUCACAGCAUUUAUUUUAUUCAGUACUCUUCUUCAAUCACUCCUUGCAGCAGUCCCUCCUCCCUGUGUCUUCCCAUUUAUUUACAAAGGAAAAUCCUACAAUUCUUGCACUGAAGUUGCAAGCCAGAAUCGCCCAUGGUGUGCUACCACUGCAAACUAUGAGAAAUCUCCACAAUGGAAGUAUUGUGCUACUAAAGAGUACAGUGGUAAUUCUGGUGGAAAACAAUGUGUGUUCCCCUUUACGUACAAGAAACGUACAUAUUAUACUUGCACGAAUGAAGAUGCAGAAAUAGGAAGAUUCUGGUGUGCAACAACUGGAAGUUAUGAUAAGAAUGAACAAUGGAGCUACUGUGCUGAUACCAGACUAGCUGCAAAUUCACAGGGACCAUGUGUGUUUCCCUUUAUCUACAAGGGACAAUCCUACUCAGCUUGCACAAAAGCUGGGUCUUCUGUGGGAAAGCUCUGGUGUUCUUUAAGCAGAAACUAUGAUGCACACCCGAAAUGGACUUACUGUACACCCUCAGAACACCUUCCUUGCAAGUUUCCCUUCAGAUUCAACAACAAAAUUUACCUUUAUUGCACAAAAGAUGGUGCUUAUGAUGGCCAAUUAUGGUGUGCCACAACUGCAAACUAUGACAGCAACGGUAAAUGGAGGGCAUGUGCCACUGAAGAAUAUGAAGGUAACUCUAAAGGCAAGCGCUGUUUCUUUCCAUUCAUCUACAAUGGGAAAACAUUCAAUUCUUGCACCAAUCAAAAUUCAGACAAUGGAAGAUUUUGGUGUUCUGUCACAAGGAACUAUGACACAGACCGUCAAUGGAGCUAUUGUGCUGAUACAAGACUAUAGACCAGGAAGACCUGUCAGACAAUAUGUGUAAUUCCUCAGUGAUGGUUGGAUAACGAUGCAAAUACUGGUGAGGGAAUGUCCACGAUUCUGCCUGUGGAAAACAAUAUAUUUUUUUCCAAGAUCACAAAAAUCAAGACGAUAUUGGAUGUUUGUGGUUCCAGGAUGAUCAUUUUUUAAUGGGUUAUGGUUAUGUGCCAUCUGUCACUUUACCUUUGCAAAUUUAUUGCGGCAGAAAAGACACAUCUAGGUUUGCUGGAAGCUAUCACACUUUGCAUUAUUUUACUGAGACCCGUCUGUAUUCAUAAUUAUGCAUUAAAGAAUCACCCAAGAAAUUAUUUCAUUGCCAGAUAUGGCCAGUUCCUAGACUCCAUUUGCUUGCUGUGCCACUUUUUAGUAGAUUCCAAGGCACCUUUAUUUUUACCAUCAGAAUUUGUAAGGAAUCAAUUAAUUUCCCACCAUUUUAAGUCUACUUUAAAAUUUUUAUCUUUAGAAUAUUGUAGGCUUAAAAGAUACUUUUUAAUUGAGUUUCCUUGUAAUGUUUAAUGUUUAAAAAGCUAGUAAAAUAUAUUUCCUAUGUUGCUUUUUUCAUUAUGGCAUUCAAUAUUGUAAGAUAUAGCAGAAAAAAGCAUACUGGCCCUUGAAAUAUUUUAUAGAUCAUGUUUAAACUACUGAUCAAUCAGUCUGAAUGCCCAUUUUCCAAUGGCACUUGCCCAUUCUUAUAGAAAUAUGUGUGAUUAUGAUAUCCUGUUUUUGCUUUGAAUUGCUAGAUGGCUCCUGAUCAUUUUUAAAUGUCUGUUUCUUUGUAAUAAAUAUUUUUAGCAGCAAA